rnacentral:rRNA from 1 species
CCCCGCCUAUCGAAAGGGAAGGAGGUUAAUAUUCCUCCACCAGGCAGUGGAUACUGAGCGGUGACGCAAGCGAAACUGGGGACGUCUGCGGGAGUUCCAGGAAGAGUUUUCUUUUCUUCUUAACGUCAGUUUGAACUAUGGAAGGGAAUUGAUCCGAGAUA